rnacentral:rRNA from 1 species
GCGAGGUUAACCCGUGGUGGGGGAGUCGUAGCGAAAGCGAGUCCGAUAAGGGCGUGAGUCGCGUGUUCUAGACCCGAAGCGGUGUGAUCUAUCCAUGGCCAGGAUGAAGCGUCGGUAAGACGUCGUGGAGGUCCGAACCCACUUCAGUUAAAAAUGGAGGGGAUGAGUUGUGGAUAGGGGUGAAAGGCCAAUCAAACACCGUGAUAGCUGGUUCUCCCCGAAAUGCAUUUAGGUGCAGCGUUGCGUGGUUCUUGUUGGAGGUAGAGCACUGGAUGGUCUAGGGGGCUUAUCGGCUUACCGAAAUCAGCCAAACUCCGAAUGCUGGCAAGUGUAGCGUGGCAGUGAGACGGCGGGGGAUAAGCUUCGUCGUCGAGAGGGAAACAGCCCAGAUCAUCAGCUAAGGCCCCUAAGUGGUGACUCAGUGGGAAAGGAUGUGGAGUUGCGUAGACAACCAGGAGGUUGGCUUGGAAGCAGCCAUCCUUGAAAGAGUGCGUAAUAGCUCACUGGUCAAGUGAUUCCGCGCCGAUAAUGUAGCGGGGCUUAAGUUAUCCGCCGAAGCUGUGGCAACCUGUGUGGUUGGGUAGGGGAGCGUCGUGUCAGUGGUGAAGCUGCCGGGUACUGUGGAGGUCGCUAGAUGGUCAUGCGAGUGAGAAUGCAGGCAUGAGUAGCGUGUGACGGGUGGGAAUCCCGNCCNCCANNUUAUCCAAGGGUUCCAGGGUCAAGUUUGUCUGCCCUGGGUGAGUCGGGUCCUAAGGCGAGGCCGACAGGCGUAGUCGAUGGGUAACCAGUUGAUAUUCUGGUACCGGCUUGUCACCGUCCGUGUCGAGGUGUGUGAUGCUAAGCAUGUGAGCUUGUCUUGGGAGUGUUUUUGAUGCUUCUGGGGUGGGUGAGUGUGUGAACCGAUCAUGUAGUAGGCAAGCUGCGGAGGGACGCAGUGAGGUAGCUCAUCCCCGGUGAUGGUUGUCCGGGGCUAAGUGUGUGGACNGUCUGGUAGGUAAAUCCGCUGGGCGUGAAGGUUGAGGCAUGAUGGGGAGCCCACGGUUGUGGGUGAGUGAGUGAUCCUGUACUGUCGAGAAAAGCUUCGUGAGCGAGGUGGCGGGUCCGCCCGUACCCUAAACCGACACUGGUGGAUAGGUAGAGUAUACCGAGGCGAUCGAGUGAAUCGUGGUGAAGGAACUCGGCAAAAUGCCCCCGUAACUUUGGGAUAAGGGGGACCUGAGCUGUCGUGCACCCGUGCGGUGUGGUGGCGGUGGAGGUNGCNCAGAGUCCAGGGGGAAACGACUGUUUACCAAAAACACAGGUCCGUGCGAAGUCGUAAGACNAUNUAGCNACCUNNACUGACUCCUGCCCGGUGCUGGAAGGUUAAGGGGAACUGUNAGCUNUGAUGCGNNGCGGUGAACUUAAGCCCCAGUAAACGGCGGUGGUAACUAUAACCAUCCUAAGGUAGCGAAAUUCCUUGUCGGGUAAGUUCCGACCUGCACGAAUGGAGUAACGANUUCCCNNCUGUCUCNACCAUGAACUCGGNGAAAUUGCANUACGAGUAAAGAUGCUCGUUACGCGCNGCAGGACGNAAAGACCCCGGGACCUU